rnacentral:rRNA from 1 species
GCUCAGAGUAUAAGCCAAUGGAGCUUGGAAGGCUUCCGCAGAUGGUGUCCAUCAUACGUGGUGUUCUUAAGACCUUGAGUGUGGCUCGUCAGGCGAAGCAUUGAGUUUGCCGGGUAGCUGUCGUGCGGGGGGUUCGGCUUGGAGGUCUCAGGCUUCGGCCGAAGGACUUCCGGCUGUCCCCUUUUGAAUGGACGUUCAGAGCUCUUGUGUCUAAUGCGGUUAUGCCCACCACAGCACGUUGUGAGGUCACCCACAGGCUCAAACUGCCGAUCGCGCAUCCAGGACGAUGGCAACGAUGCGUUGUUGAUGAAGGCUCGACGCCGAGACCUCACUCACACGCGUGUCUAGUCCUGGGUCGGGCGGCGACCGAGAUAAACCUGGUAUGAUCCUCUUGCGACGAGCUGCUUUCUGGCCAGACCGACGCCCGGGCGCAUCCACUGUGCCGGAAGCGCCAACCCCAGGCGGUGUGAACCCAGCUGCAUUAUGCAAGGUCUCUCAGCCGGGCGUUGGUCUGAGUGGUGUUAAGUCCAGCACCAUCGGUCACGUCUCGAAACACGGGCCAAGGAGUAUAGCAUGUGUGCAAGUCUAAGGGUCUCACAAAACCCGAAGGCGAAGUGAAAGCAAGACUGUGGCGGGGGAGCUACGGCAAACCCGCCGGCCUAGUGGCGCGUGAGCGCCGCUGGCUUUAAGCAGAGCUGAUCCUGUUUUCUCGGUUAAUUCUUGGUGCAGGCGCAAGCUCCGGGCUCACGUACAACACUGGUCACGCCUUGCG